rnacentral:rRNA from 1 species
UGAGGAAUAUUGGUCAAUGGGCGGAAGCCUGAACCGGCCAAGUAGCGUGCAGGAAGACGGCCCUAUGGGUUGUAAACUGCUUUCAGUCGGGAAUAAUUCGUCGGUCGUGACCGACGUUGCAGGUACCGUCAUAAGAAGGACCGGCUAAUUCCGUGCCAGCAGCCGCGGUAAUACGGAAGGUCCAGGCGUUAUCCGGAUUUAUUGGGUUUAAAGGGAGCGUAGGCCGCCCCUUAAGCGUGUUGUGAAAUGCCGCGGCUCAACCGUGGCACUGCAGCGCGAACUGGGGGGCUUGAGUGCACGCAACGCAGGCGGAAUUCGUGGUGUAGCGGUGAAAUGCUUAGAUAUCACGAAGAACUCCGAUUGCGAAGGCAGCUUGCGGGAGUGCGACUGACGCUGAAGCUCGAAGGUGCGGGUAUCGAACAGGAUUAGAUACCCUGGUAGU